rnacentral:ncRNA from 1 species
AGGAGCCGGGUGAAUCGAGAGGUUCACGCCCGGAUCUGUGAGGGCCGGGGGCUGAAAUGCCCCCGGCCACUCGAC